rnacentral:rRNA from 1 species
CUGCCCGGUGCUCGAAGGUUAAUUGAUGGGGUUAGCAUUAGCGAAGCUCUUGAUCGAAGCCCGAGUAAACGGCGGCCGUAACUAUAACGGUCCUAAGGUAGCGAAAUUCCUUGUCGGUUAAAUACCGACCUGCAUGAAUGGCGUAACGAGAUGGGAGCUGUCUCAAAGAGGGAUCCAGUGAAAUUGUAGUGGAGGUGAAAAUUCCUCCUACCCGCGGCAAGACGGAAAGACCCCGUGGACCUUUACUACAGCUUGACACUGCUACUUGGAUAAGAAUGUGCAGGAUAGGUGGGAGGCUUUGAGUAUAUGACGCCAGUUGUAUAUGAGCCGUUGUUGAGAUACCACUCUUUCUUAUUUGGGUAGCUAACCAGCUUGAGUUAUCCUCAAGUGGGACAAUGUCUGGUGGGUAGUUUGACUGGGGCGGUCGCCUCCCAAAUAAUAACGGAGGCUUACAAAGGUUGGCU